UACGUAGAGGGGCUAGCGUUAUCCGGAAUUACUGGGCGUAAAGGGUGCGUAGGUGGUUUCUUAAGUCAGAGGUGAAAGGCUACGGCUCAACCGUAGUAAGCCUUUGAAACUGGGAAACUUGAGUGCAGGAGAGGAGAGUGGAAUUCUUAGUGUAGCGGUGAAAUGCGUAGAUAUUAGGAGGAACAUCAGUUGCGAAGGCGGCUCUCUGGACUGUAACUGACACUGAGGCACGAAAGCGUGGGGAGCAAACAGGAUUAGAUACCCCGGUAGUCCCUGA
rnacentral:rRNA from 1 species